GACGAACGCUGGCGGCGUGCUUAACACAUGCAAGUCGAACGGAAAGGCCUGCUUUCCCUUGUGGCUUGCGGGUACUCGAGUGGCGAACGGGUGAGUAACACGUGAGUGAUCUGCCCCCAACUUGGGUAUAAGCCUGGGAAACUGGGUCUAAUUCCCGAUAGGACUGCAGGGUGGUGCCUGUGGUGGAAAACGAUUUUCUAGUGGUUGGGGAUGAGCUCGCGGCCUAUCAGCUUGUUGGUGGGGUAAUGGCCUACCAAGGCGGCGACGGGUAGCCGGCCUGAAGGGUUGGCCGGCACAUUGGGACUUGGGUACCGGCCCAGAUCCUUACGGAAGCAGGCGGUGGGGAAAAUGGCCAAUUGGGCGGAGGCCGAUUGCGGGGCCCCGGCGUGGGGAUGACGGCCUUCGGGUUGUAAACUCCUUUCGACCGCGAGGAAGCCACCUGGUUGGAAGGGUGGUGACGGUAGUGGUAGAAGAAGCACCGGCUAACUACGUG
rnacentral:rRNA from 1 species